AACGUGUUAUAUGACUGACGGAUAAGUGGAAUAACCACAUGAAAUAUAACAAAUAAGAGCCGACCGUCUGGGCGAUAAAC
rnacentral:ncRNA from 2 species